rnacentral:rRNA from 1 species
UAAAUCCAGUUGAUCCUGCUGGCGGCUGCGGCUCUCUGGUUUGUACUUAGACAUGCAAGUUUUUCGAAAGAAAGCGAACUGCUCAGUAACACGUAGUUAAUCUAACCUUAGGUCAAGGAUACCCUCGGGAAACUGAGGUUAAUACUUGAUAGGAGAUAGGUCCUGGAACGGUUUAUCUCUGAAAUUUGAGCCUAAGGAUGAGACUGCGGUGGAUUAGGUUGUUGGUGGUGUAACUGACUACCAAGCCGAUGAUCCAUAAGGGCUCUUAGCGGAGGGGCCCUGAGAGGGAAUCUGAGACACUAUUCCCAGCCCUACGGGGUGCAGCAGUUAAGAAUCAUCUGCAAUGCGCGAAAGCGUGACAGUUUGAACCAGAGUGCUUCUCAAACGAGAAGCUUUUGCCAAAUGUAAAAAGUCUGGCGAAUAAGGACUGGGUAAGACGAGUGCCAGCCGCCGCGGUAAUACUCGCGGUCCAAGUCGCAGCCAUCAUUAUUGGGUCUAAAACAUCCGUAGCUUGUUAUGUAAGUUCUUUGUGAAAUCCUGUCUCUUAAGGGCAGGGCGUGCAGAGAAUACUGCAUUACUAGAGACUGGGAGACGUAAGGAGUACGGGUAAAGUAACGGUAAAAUGUGUUAAUCUUACCCGGACUAACAAUAGCGAAGGCACCUUACGAGAACAGUUCUGACAGUGAGGGAUGAAGGCCAGGGGCGCAAAACGGAUUAGAUACCCGUGUAGUCCUGGCAGUAAACACUGCACACUAAACAUCGGGAUCUCUUCGAGAGGUUUCGGUGCUGUAGGGAAGCCGAAGAGUGUGCUACCUGGGAAGUAUAGUCGCAAGGCCGAAACUUAAAGGAAUUGGCGGGGAGAUACUACAAUGGGUGACGCGUGCGGUUCAAUUAGAUUCCACACCGUGAACCUCACCAGGACCGACAGCAGAAUGAAGGUCAGUCUGAAGGGCUUACCUGACACGCUGAGAGG